AUAAGACUAAAUCCUUGACCUUGAUGUAGGCUUGCAAGACUAAGACCUUAAUGGAGGUGGGAUGCUAGGGAAGCAGCUUCAUUGCCUUGGGAUUUAUGCUCUGAGAAGAGUGAAUAUCCAGACGUGAACCCUUGAGUGAUGCCAUGUUUCAGUCUGCAGCUUAUUAGACAAGAUCUAAGAGGGUGCAAAAAUUACACCUCUGAUGUGAACUUCAGAGAUCAAAGCAGAUCAUCUCAACCAGAUUAUGUAGACGUUUAGAUGUUCUUUGUUUUUUUUAACCCAUGAACAGUUAAUAAAAUCAACUGUUAGUGUUCUAAG
rnacentral:lncRNA from 1 species